rnacentral:pre_miRNA from 1 species
GACAGUCAGUAGUUGGUCUGGCGUGAGCAUUCAGUCUCAGAUCACCUCUUGCCUGUGUG